rfam:Canis lupus familiaris chromosome 8, whole genome shotgun sequence.
AAACAGGUGCUUUUAAGCACCAUCCAGUCUUUUUGGAGGACAGUU